rnacentral:rRNA from 1 species
UACAGAGGGUGCAAACGUUGUUCGGAAUUACUGGGCGUAAAGCGCGUGUAGGCGGCUGUGCAAGUCGGAUGUGAAAUCCCGUGGCUCAACCACGGAAGUGCACCCGAAACUGCGCAGCUGGAGUCUCGGAGAGGAAGGUGGAAUGCUUGGUGUAGAGGUGAAAUUCGUAGAUAUCAAGCGGAACACCGGUGGCGAAAGCGGCCUUCUGGACGAUGACUGACGCUGAGACGCGAAAGCGUGGGGAGCAAACAGG